AGAGACGGGGUUUCGCCAUGUUGCCCAAGCUCGUCGCAAACUCCUGGACUCAAGUGAUCCAUUAGCCUCAGCCUCCCAAAGUGCUGGGAUUACAGGUCUUUUUCAGAGGAAGGAGACUAUUGCUGGCUUCAGUAAUCAGAAAUAGUCCUAUGAAAGGACUGUGUCCUAUGAAAGACAGAGUAUACAUACAGGGUCUCACUCUCUUGCCCAGGCUUGGGUGAAGUGGCACAAACACAGCUCACUGCAGCCUCAAUCUUCCAGGCUCAAGGAUCCUCCCACCUCAGCUUCCCAAGUAGCUGGGACUACAGGCGUGCACCACCAUGCCAGGCUGAUUUUUCUAUUUUUUGUAGAGACGUGGUUUUGCCAUGUUGGCCCAGGCUGGUCUCGCACUCCUGACCUCAAGUGAUCCACCCGCCUUGGCCUCACAAAGUGCUGGGAUUACAGGCAUGAGCCACCUCACCCAGUUGAAAGUAAUUUUUAAAAACUUUUUAUUGUGGAAAUAUUCUAAAGUAUACAAAAAUGUAAAGAUGCUGUAAUAAACUAAUAGGAAUCCAUCACCUAUCUUCAA